rnacentral:rRNA from 1 species
CCUACGGGAGGCAGCAGUGAGGAAUAUUGGUCAAUGGUCGGGAGACUGAACCAGCCAAGCCGCGUGAGGGAUGAAGGUACAGAGUAUCGUAAACCUCUUUUGUCAGGGAACAAAGGCGGGGACGUGUCCCCGGCUGAGUGUACCUGAAGAAAAAGCAUCGGCUAACUCCGUGCCAGCAGCCGCGGUAAUACGGAGGAUGCGAGCGUUAUCCGGAUUUAUUGGGUUUAAGGGGUGCGCAGGCGGUCUGUUAAGUCAGCGGUCAAAGCCCGGGGCUCAACCCCGGCCCGCCGUUGAAACUGGCAGUCUCGAGUUGGAGAGAAGUAUGCGGAAUGCGCGGUGUAGCGGUGAAAUGCAUAGAUAUCGCGCAGAACUCCGAUUGCGAAGGCAGCAUGCCGGCUCCACACUGACGCUGAGGCACGAAAGCGUGGGUAUCGAACAGGAUUAGAUACCCGGGUAGUC